rnacentral:rRNA from 1 species
UUUUAAUAGUAAUUGUUAUUAAUAAAAUCUGCUCAAUGAAAAUUAAAUAGCCGCAGUUUCUGUGCUAAGGUAGCAUAAUCAUUUGUCUUUUAAAUAAAGACUAGAAUAAAUGAUUUGACAUUUUAAUUAAUUUCUUUAAUUUAAAAUUUAGAAUUUUCUUAAAUGUAAAAAGACAUUUAUAAUUUAAAAAGACGAUAAGACCCUAUUAAACUUUACUUUAGUUAAACUGGGGUAGUAAAUUAAUUAUUAUUUUAAUUAAAAUAAUAUAUAAUUAUUCUAUUUAAAUAAAAAUUUAGUUACUAUAGGGAUAACAGCGUAAUAAAUCUUUAAAGCUCUUAUAAUAAUAUAAGAUUACGACCUCGAUGUUGAAUAAUAACCUAAAUUAAGCAAAAGUUUUAAUAGGAAGUCUGUUCGACUUUUAAAAAAUUACA